GAAAAUCCGCAGAGCGGAAGUAAGUAGCCAUGGAAACGAUGUCAAAGAGAGCGGGCGGCUGGUGGAAAGCCCGUACAUACGCCGGUGGCGAAUGGGUCCGUGAGGAGCAGGUGGAAUUUUUUGAGUAUACCUCGCCGUGAUUCCCGCGUUAAGGGAAAGGAUAUAAGCGCUGUAAGCGCCGUAUCUGUAACGAGCAGAUCAGAGGAUUGAUCUGAAAUUUGGGUGGCACCGCGAAGCUUUUCGUCCCUUGG
rnacentral:ncRNA from 1 species